rnacentral:rRNA from 1 species
GAUCAACUGAUUGAAGAGCUGCUCAGAUAUGACGAUGGACAUUGCAAGAGUGCGAACGGUGAGUAACACGUGGAAACCUACCUCUUAGCAGGGGAUAACAUUUGGAAACAGAUGCUAAUACCGUAUAACAAUGACAACCGCAUGGUUGUUAUUUAAAAGAUGGUUCUGCUAUCACUAAGAGAUGGUCCCGCGGUGCAUAGCUAGUUGGUAAGGUAAUGGCUUACCAAGGCAAUGAUGCAUAGCCGAGUUGAGAGACUGAUCGGCCACAAUGGGACUGAGACACGGCCCAUACUCCUACGGGAGGCAGCAGUAGGGAAUCUUCCACAAUGGGCGAAAGCCUGAUGGAGCAACGCCGCGUGUGUGAUGAAGGGUUUCGGCUCGUAAAGCACUGUUGUAAGAGAAGAAUGACAUUGAGAGUAACUGUUCAAUGUGUGACGGUAUCUUACCAGAAAAGAACGGCUAAAUACGUGCCAGCAGCCGCGGUAAUACGUAUGUUCCAAGCGUUAUCCGGAUUUAUUGGGCGUAAAGCGAGCGCAGACGGUUAUUUAAGUCUGAAGUGAAAGCCCUCAGCUCAACUGAGGAAUUGCUUUGGAAACUGGAUGACUUGAGUGCAGUAGAGGAAAGUGGAACUCCAUGUGUAGCGGUGAAAUGCGUAGAUAUAUGGAAGAACACCAGUGGCGAAGGCGGCUUUCUGGACUGUAACUGACGUUGAGGCUCGAGGGUGUGGGUAGCGGACAGGAUUAGAUACCCUGGUAGUCCACACCGUAAACGAUGAGUGCUAGGUGUUUGUAGGGUUUCCGCCCUUAAGUACCGCGAGCUAACGCAUUGAGCACUCCGCCUGGGGAGUACGACCGC